GAUGAAGAACGCAGCGAAAUGCGAUACGUAAUGUGAAUUGCAGAAUUCAGUGAAUCAUCGAAUCUUUGAACGCACAUUGCGCCCCCUGGUAUUCCGGGGGGCAUGCCUGUUCGAGCGUCAUUUCAACCCUCAAGCUCUGCUUGGUAUUGAGUCCAUGUCAGCAAUGGCAGGCUCCAAAAUCAGUGGCGGCGCCGCUGGGUCCUGAACGUAGUAAUAUCUCUCGUUACAGGUGCUCGGCGUGCUUCUGCCAAAACCCCAAUUUUUCUAUGGUUGACCUCGGAUCAGGUAGGGAUACCCGCUGAACUUAAGCAUAUCAAUAAGCGGAGGA
rnacentral:misc_RNA from 1 species